AUUGAACGCUGGCGGCAGGCCUAACACAUGCAAGUCGAACGCGUGGCGGACGGGUGAGUAAUGUAUGGGAAAAUGCCCGCUGGAGGGGGAUAACUACUUGAAACGGUAGCUAAUAUCGCAUACAAUAGGAUGUGCCCAGAUGGGAUUAGCUGGUAGGUGAGGUAAAGGCUCACCUAGGCGACGCUCCCUAGCUGGUCUGAGAGGAUGACCCGCCAAACUGGAACUGAGACACGGUCCAGAAUCCUACGGGAGGCAGCAGUGGGGAAUAUUGGACAAUGGGUGAAAGCCUGAGGCAGCCAUGCCGCGUGUAUGAAGAAGGCCUUCGGGUUGUAAAGGACUUUCAGCGGGGAGGCGUUACCCGCAGAAGAAGCACCGGCUAACUCCGGGCCAGCAGCCGCGGUAAUUC
rnacentral:rRNA from 1 species